AAAKCCCCGGGCUYAACCUGGGAACUGCAUUCGAUACUGCUCGGCUAGAGUAUGGAAGAGGGAAGCGGAAUUCCGGGUGUAGCGGUGAAAUGCGUAGAUAUCCGGAGGAACACCAGUGGCGAAGGCGGCUUCCUGGGCCAAUACUGACGCUGAGGCGCGAAAGCGUGGGGAGCAAACAGGAUUAGAUACCCUGGUAGUCCACGCCCUAAACUAUGUCKAYUAGCCGUUGGGAKCAWUKAWKGUCUURGUGGCGCAKCUAACGCGAUAAAUCSACCGCCUGGGGAGUACGGCCGCAAGGUUA
rnacentral:rRNA from 1 species